CCUCCAUCUGCCUUGGUAAGGCUAAGAAGGAUGGCCAUAGACACAGACUCAAGCUCCUCUGAGUCCUGAGUCCGGGAGUAAAGACAGGAUCCGGCAUGACACAGAAGGUAACUCAAGCCCAGCCUGCCAUUUCUACGCUGGAGAAUGAGGCUGUGACCUUGGAUUGUGUAUACGAA